rnacentral:rRNA from 1 species
GUAGUCCACGCCGUAAACGAUGUGUGCUCGUUGUCGGGAUCUUUAGGUCCCGGUGACAACGCGAAAGCAUUAAGCACACCGCCUGGGGAGUACGGUCGCAAGAUUAAAACUCAAAGGAAUUGACGGGGACCCGCACAAGCGGUGGAGCAUGUUGUUUAAUUCGAAGCUACGCGAAGAACCUUACCCACUCUUGACAUACCAAGUAUGACUUUCAGAGAUGAUUGUCUUCAGUUCGGCUGGCUUGGAUACAGGUGCUGCAUGGCUGUCGUCAGCUCGUGUCGUGAGAUGUUGGGUUAAGUCCCGCAACGAGCGCAACCCUCAUCGUCUGUUGCUACCAGGUUAAGCUGGGCACUCUGACGAGACCGCCGGUGACAAGCCGGA